CCCUCCACCUCCUCCACCACGCGACGGUUCUUCCCCUCCUCCUCCACCACGUGACGGUUCUGCCCCUCCACCGCCUCCUAGUGGACCCCCUUCAACAUAGAGGCCUUCUCCUCCGAACCCAAACCAAGUGUAGACGAACGAAAAGCUGAUUCCACGCAGGACUAGAAGACUGCUGUUUAUCAAAUGACAACGAAUUUAUAAUUUUGCCAUUAACGGCAACGAAUGGCAACCAAUCUUAAAUAUUAUUUUCAUUAUGAUGAUCUAGGCCUUUCAUGUAGAUUUGUUUUUCUUCUAUACGAUCAUGAAAUGAUAAGAGAUGAAAGAUUGGGUAAAACUAAACGGAUGUAAUGAAAAUCAAGUGCAAAGUUACAUCACUUAUUUCAUAAUUCUUUGAUCGGGUGAUAGAGUAACCAGCUACGUGCAUUCACUUUGCUGCAAAAAAAAAGUAGCCUAUUCACAGGAUUUUAUUUAAUCCAUUGACUCCUGAACUUUCUUGAUCCUCAUGAACUAACUGUUACUGGUCACCAAUGGUUUGAUAGUCGUUUUAAAUUGUGUAAUUUAGUUUAUUUGCUUCAUACAGCAACGAAAACUCCUUUGCGAAUUCAUUAUACCAGGUGACAUUUUGGAUGAUUCGAUAAUCAUCAUUACAUAUUCAUGAAAUAUUAUUUUCUUUGAAGGAUAUCAUCUUUCUCUUUCAAAAAGGAGUAAGGAUACCAUUACUUGCAGACGUGAUUAGUAUAUAAAUUGUCAUGAAAUUAAAAUCUUUGCAAA